AUUGAACGCUGGCGGCAUGCCUUACACAUGCAAGUCGAACGGCAGCACGGGGGCAACCCUGGUGGCGAGUGGCGAACGGGUGAGUAAUGCAUCGGAACGUGCCCUGAAGUGGGGGAUAACGUAGCGAAAGUUACGCUAAUACCGCAUAUUCUGUGAGCAGGAAAGCAGGGGAUCGCAAGACCUUGCGCUUUAGGAGCGGCCGAUGUCGGAUUAGCUAGUUGGUGGGGUAAGAGCUCACCAAGGCGACGAUCCGUAGCGGGUCUGAGAGGAUGAUCCGCCACACUGGGACUGAGACACGGCCCAGACUCCUACGGGAGGCAGCAGUGGGGAAUUUUGGACAAUGGGCGCAAGCCUGAUCCAGCCAUGCCGCGUGAGUGAAGAAGGCCUUC
rnacentral:rRNA from 1 species